rnacentral:rRNA from 1 species
GGUUGAUCCUGCCAGUAGCAUAUGCUUGUCUCAAAGAUUAAGCCAUGCAAGUCUAAGUACACACGGCCGGUACAGUGAAACUGCGAAUGGCUCAUUAAAUCAGUUAUGGUUCCUUUGAUCGCUCUCACGUUACUUGGAUAACUGUGGCAAUUCUAGAGCUAAUACAUGCCAACGAGCGCUGACCUCCGGGGAUGCGUGCAUUUAUCAGACCCAAAACCCAUGCGGGGUGCCUCUCGGGGUGCCCCGGCCGCUUUGGUGACUCUAGAUAACCUCGAGCCGAUCGCUGGCCCUCGUGGCGGCGACGUCUCAUUCGAAUGUCUGCCCUAUCAACUUUCGAUGGUACUUUCUGUGCCUACCAUGGUGACCACGGGUAACGGGGAAUCAGGGUUCGAUUCCGGAGAGGGAGCCUGAGAAACGGCUACCACAUCCAAGGAAGGCAGCAGGCGCGCAAAUUACCCACUCCCGACUCGGGGAGGUAGUGACGAAAAAUAACAAUACAGGACUCUUUCGAGGCCCUGUAAUUGGAAUGAGUACACUUUAAAUCCUUUAACGAGGAUCAAUUGGAGGGCAAGUCUGGUGCCAGCAGCCGCGGUAAUUCCAGCUCCAAUAGCGUAUCUUAAAGUUGCUGCAGUUAAAAAGCUCGUAGUUGCUCCCAGCAUGGAUUUCGGGGCGCCCCCUGCAAGCUUCUACCCCGUUUCAACCCCUUCUUCUUCCUGUGCACCCACCACGGGGAGCUGGAGGGAGCCGGGGUGGCAGAAGGUGGGGGAGAGGUGCUACUCACCCUCCAAAUUACUGGCAGCCCCACUGUCUACACCCCUGGACAGGAGUAUCAAGUUACCAUCUCUACCAGUGUUUCCUUUGACGGUCUGCUGGUGACUGGCCUCUACACUUCCACACCAGUCCAGUCAGCUCCCAUCCCUGCUCCUGCUGUCCUUUGGCUUUGGUGUGAUGCCAGAACGCCAGUUUGGUGGAACCCAGUUUGUUUGCAGUGUGGUUGCUUCCCAUGUCAGCCACCACGCCCUCCACCUAGUUUCAGUCUUUGUCUGGAUCGCCCACCACCUGGCACUGGCUGCGUCAACUUCCUUGCCACAGCAACACAUCGAGGACAGAUCAUUUCAAGGAUGCUCUGGCCCAGCAGCUCUGUGAGCCAGG